CUAACCUAUGCAGGGGAAUAACCUCGGGAAACUGAGUAUAAUGCCCCAUAGUCCACUACGCCUGGAACGGUGAGUGGAUCAAAGCUCAGGCGGCAUAGGAUGGGCCUGCGGCGUAUCAGGUUGUAGGGGGUGUAAAGUACCCUCUAGCCAUCUACGCGUACGGGUGUUGGGAGACAUAGCCCGGAGAUGGAUUCUGAGACACGAAUCCAGACCCUACGGGGUGCAGCAGGCGCGAAAACUUGACAAUGCGAGCAAUCGUGAUCAGGGAACUCCAAGUGGCUGGGGUAAGACCCAGUCUUUUCAUAACUCUUCAAAGGUUGUAGAAUAAGGGGUGGGUAAGGACGGUGCCAGCCGCCGCGGUAAUACCGGCGCCUCAAGUGGUAGUCGCUUUUAUUGGGCCUAAAACGUCCGUAGCCGGUUUGGUACAUUCGUGGGUAAAUCAACUCGCUCAACGAGUUGAAUUCUGCGAGGACGGCCAGACUUGGGACCGGGAGAGGUGUGGGGUACUCUCAGGGUAGGGGUAAAAUCCUGUCAUCCUGAGAGGACCACCUGUUGCGAAGGCGCCACACUAGAACGGAUCCGACGGUCAGGGACGAAGCCUAGGGGCACGAACCGGAUUAGAUACCCGGGUAGUCCUAGGUGUAAACGCUGUGGAUUUGAUGUUGGAGAAGCUCCGAGCUUCUUCAGUGUCGAAGCGAAGGUGAUAAGUCCACUGCCUGGGAAGUACGGUCGCAAGGCUGAAACU
rnacentral:rRNA from 1 species